ACGCUGGCGGCAGGCUUAACACAUGCAAGUCGAACGGUAACAUAAAGAAGCUUGCUUCUUUGAUGACGAGUGGCGGACGGGUGAGUAAUGCUUGGGAAUCUAGCUUAUGGAGGGGGAUAACUACGGGAAACUGUAGCUAAUACCGCGUAGUAUCGGAAGAUGAAAGUGUGGGACCUUCGGGCCACAUGCCAUAGGAUGAGCCCAAGUGGGAUUAGGUAGUUGGUGAGGUAAAGGCUCACCAAGCCGACGAUCUCUAGCUGGUCUGAGAGGAUGACCAGCCACACUGGGACUGAGACACGGCCCAGACUCCUACGGGAGGCAGCAGUGGGGAAUAUUGCGCAAUGGGGGCAACCCUGACGCAGCCAUGCCGCGUGAAUGAAGAAGGCCUUCGGGUUGUAAAGUUCUUUCGGUAGCGAGGAAGGCAUUUAGUUUAAUAGACUAGGUGAUUGACGUUAACUACAGAAGAAGCACCGGCUAACUCCGUGCCAGCAGCCGCGGUAAUACGGAGGGUGCGAGCGUUAAUCGGAAUAACUGGGCGUAAAGGGCACGCAGGCGGUGACUUAAGUGAGGUGUGAAAGCCCCGGGCUUAACCUGGGAAUUGCAUUUCAUACUGGGUCGCUAGAGUACUUUAGGGAGGGGUAGAAUUCCACGUGUAGCGGUGAAAUGCGUAGAGAUGUGGAGGAAUACCGAAGGCGAAGGCAGCCCCUUGGGAAUGUACUGACGCUCAUGUGCGAAAGCGUGGGGGAGCAACAGGAUUAGAUACCCUGGUAGUCCACGCUGUAAACGAUGUCGAUUUGGGGGUUGAGCUUUGAGCUUGGCCGCCCGUAGCUAACGUGAUAAAUUGACCGCCUGGGGAGUACGGCCGCAAGGUUAAAACUCAAAUGAAUUGACGGGGGCCCGCACAAGCGGU
rnacentral:rRNA from 1 species